UACAGAGGUGGCAAGCGUUGUUCGGAAUUACUGGGCGUAAAGGGCGCGUAGGCGGUUCGUUAAGUCCUGUGUGAAAUCCCCCGGCUCAACUGGGGAACUGCACAGGAAACUAGCGGGCUUGAGUUCGGGAGAGGGAAGCGGAAUUCCGGGUGUAGCGGUGAAAUGCGUAGAUAUCCGGAGGAACACCGGUGGCGAAGGCGGCUUCCUGGACCGACACUGACGCUGAGGCGCGAAGGCCAGGGGAGCAAACGGG
rnacentral:rRNA from 1 species